rnacentral:rRNA from 1 species
UACGUAGGGGGCAAGCGUUGUCCGGAUUUAUUGGGCGUAAAGAGCGUGUAGGCGGCCGUACAGGUCAGCUGUGAAAACUCGAGGCUCAACCUCGAGACGUCGGUUGAAACCGUACGGCUAGAGUCCGGAAGAGGAGAGUGGAAUUCCCGGUGUAGCGGUGAAAUGCGCAGAUAUCGGGAAGAACACCCGUGGCGAAGGCGGCUCUCUGGGACGGUACUGACGCUGAGACGCGAAGGCCAGGGGAGCAAACGGG